rnacentral:lncRNA from 1 species
AACCCAUAGUCCUCUUCUUCUUUCACUCCAAAUUCAAGGUCUAAGCCCAAGAUCUUUCUCCCAUCACCUCUCCACCUCAAAUCGCCCCUUGGGAAAGGAGCUAUUCCCAUUUUUCUCCCUUGAUUGGAGUGGUUGGAGCGUGCCCUAGCUUCCACCAUUCUCCUCCAAAUCGGGGUUUUUCUCCUCCAAAAAUCUCUUUCCAUCCCCUAAUAACCCUCUAUCUCCUCACACAUUUGAUCUUCCAAGUCUCCUUGCUUGUUCUGGUGGUGAGAAUGGCUCCAAAAAUGAAACUCUCUCAAAGAAGGAAAUCGGUC